AUGGCCCGCAUUGCAGUGCUCUUGCUGGUGGCGCUGCUCUCCUUAGCCGUGCAUCUCGCUCCGUCCGCGGCAUGCCGAUCCUGCCCGACCACAAAGCCUUCGCGGCCUCCACCGCGUAAGCACAAGUCCCGGCCAUCGUCCGUACCCUGCCCACCGCCUUCGCAAACUCCCACGCCCUCACCCACAUCCACACCUACUCCAGUGACUCCGACGCCGGCACCGACCCCGAUUGUGUCCUGCCCUCCACCUACAAACACUCCCGCACCCACGCCCAUACCGACCCCGGUGAUACUGCCAAUACCAACCCCUAUAACUCCGACGCCGGCACAGGCCCCCGUCUCUCCAACACCAACCCGGUUGACCCCAACACCGACCCCUGUUUCGCCGACGCCGGCACCGACCCCUGUCUCUCCAUCACCAAUCCCGGUGGCCCCAUCACCGACCCCUGUGAUGCCACCAACACCGACCCUUGUGACCCCGACACCA
rnacentral:rRNA from 1 species